UCGGUUGCCAUUGCCUUCUCCAACAGAACUAUGAGGAAACAAAUUUCUGUUGCUAAGCCACCCAGUCUUUGGUAUUUUGUUUUGGCCCUCCUAGCAAACUAACACGCCAUGUCAAGAUGAUGAAACCCAAAGCUUGAUUAUAAUGUUCUCCCUCUUUUUUUUAAUUGAAAAAAAUCUCUCUAAAUUUAUUUAAAUAAUUCCAUCUUUUGAGCUCUUCAUGAACAUUAAGAUCAACUGGCUGGCAAAUUCCUAAUACAGCCAUUGAAAUGCUGAAAGAUAGCAGCUUUUUAUUUAGACUUAAGACUUAUUUAGACUUAAGCUUUUUGUUUAGACUUAAGAAAACUGGUCCUCCAUAGAUUAAAAUAUUUUAUAUUAAUUUGAUAGUAUAUGCUAUGAUAUUAAACCCUGAUCAUUUGUUUUUCUCUUUGUGUGUGUGGGGGUGGUUUCUCAAGUUUCUCCAAGACAAGGCACCAAAUGGACUGCCCACAUGUCACACAACAGAAAACAUGUUGAAAGGCCAGCCACUGGAUUCUGCUGAUUCUGAAUUUUCCACAGAUUGUCAUUUCUGUUGACCCUUCACUGGAUGUCUUCAUUUCCCUUCUCCGUGAGGAAAAUCAUCACUGAAGCCAGGAUCAGAAAGCACCAGUCCUCUCGUUGCACAUCUGGGCUGCAAUUUUCCAGAUUAAGCUGUAGUUCAUCUAUAUCGAAAAGUUUGCCAACCCCUAGAUAAGAACAUGGAAAGAGACUCUUCCGUUGCCCAGUUGUGCAAAAACUUCCAAAUAUGAACGUGGAGCAGGAACACCUCUGCGGCACAUCAGUAAGUACUAUAAGUAGGGAAACCACUGGAGGAAUUUGACGCUUAUGAUGCAUAUGAGCGUAAUGGUAGG